GGUUAUUCUUCAGUAUCCAUGUUUGUUGGCCUGUUUGCUUUUAUUAGGUAUUUAUUUUGUGGUGGUAACAUUUACAUAACAGUGACGUGCACGGGUUGUAAGAGCACAGCUCAGUGAAUUUUCACCUAGUUAUGCGCCUGUGUAAUCACCAUCCAGAUCGAGAUAUAGCAAGUUUCUAGCCCUUUAGAAGGCUCCCACGUGCCCUUGCCUGCCCCAGUCAACACUUGGCCGAAGGUAACUGCUGGACUAACCUCUACCAUCACAGAACCAGAUGCUUUAUAGGCCGUAAAUCUGUGAGCAGAUGACCACACUCCUGCGCAGACAGCUGAGAUCUCUCACCCAAGGGCUCUGUACACAAGUAUAGCCUUUCAUGCAUCGUGGGAGCCGGCUGUGGGGGAUGGGAGGAGGAGGAAAAACCUGCCUGGGCGGGACUGCCAUCUGCUCAACACCGUGAAGAGGCUCUCAGGACUCCCAGGGGUGGAUGCUCUUGGCACACUACAGGUGUGAAGUACAGUGAAUAAGGAAUUACCUGGUAGCACGGAAGUAUGAACAUCUGAAUUAGGUGGUCCGGGUGACAGAGCUCUGAGAACAGUGAUGCACUUUGCCAGUAAACGUGAAAGACAUAUGGGACAGAGACUUCAGCUACAGGCAAGAAGCCUGGGCGUCCUAUGCAACCCUCAGCUGUAUGUAACCCAGCCUACUCCAAUAUGAAGCCAGCAAAGCCCCUGCAGAAAU